UACGUAGGGUGCGAGCGUUAAUCGGAAUUACUGGGCGUAAAGCGUGCGCAGGCGGCUUUGCAAGACAGAUGUGAAAUCCCCGGGCUCAACCUGGGAACUGCAUUUGUGACUGUAUAGCUAGAGUACGGUAGAGGGGGAUGGAAUUCCGCGUGUAGCAGUGAAAUGCGUAGAUAUGCGGAGGAACACCAAUGGCGAAGGCAAUCCCCUGGGCCUGUACUGACGCUCAUGCACGAAAGCGUGGGGAGCAAACAGG
rnacentral:rRNA from 1 species